UCGGUGUUGGAGGAGAGAGGUUUUCUGUGAAGCCGGCGCGUGAGCGAUCCGGUGGAGAGAUCACUAGCGAGAAUGAUGACAUGAGUAGCGACAAAGAGUGUGAGAGACACUCUCGCCGAAAGUCCAAGGGUUCCUGCUUAAAGCUAAUCUGAGCAGGGUAAGCCGGCCCCUAAGCCGAGGCCGAAAGGCGUAGGCGAUGGGAACCAGGUUAAUAUUCCUGGGCCAGGAGGAUGUGACGGAUCGUGAAGGUUGUUCGCCCUUAUCGGAUUGGGCGGGCCGCUGAUCGGUUCCUGGAAAUAGCCCUCCAUUAGAUCGUACCCUAAACCGACACAGGUGGACUGGUAGAGCAUACCAAGGCGCUUGAGAGAACGAUGUUGAAGGAACUCGGCAAAAUACCUCCGUAAGUUCGCGAGAAGGAGGCCCGGGUUCAAGGCAACUUGGAUCCGGGGGCACAAACCAGGGGGUGGCGACUGUUUACUAAAAACACAGGGCUCUGCGAAGUCGCAAGACGACGUAUAGGGUCUGACGCCUGCCCGGUGCCGGAAGGUUAAGAGGAGAUGUUAUCUUCGGAGAAGCAUUGAAUUGAAGCCCCGGUAAACGGCGGCCGUAACAAUAACGGUCCUAAGGUAGCGAAAUUCCUUGUCGGGUAAGUUCCGACCCGCACGAAAGGCGUAACGAUUUGGACACUGUCUCGGAGAGGGACUCGGCGAAAUAGACUUGUCUGUGAAGAUGCGGACUACCUGCACCUGGACAGAAAGACCCUAUGAAGCUUUACUGUAACUUGAGAUUGGUUUCGGGUUUUAUUUGCGCAGAAUAGGUGGGAGGCUAUGAAAAAAUACUUGUGGGUGUUUUGGAGCCAUCAGUGAGAUACCACUCUUGUAAAACUAGAAAUCUAACUUUACACCAUUAUCUGGUUAAAAGACAGUCUCAGGCGGGCAGUUUGACUGGGGCGGUCGCCUCCUAAAAGGUAACGGAGGCGUACAAAGGUUUCCUCAAAUCGGUCAGACAUCGAUUGUAGAGCGUAAAGGCAUAUGGAAGCUUAACUGCGAGACCUACAAGUCGAGCAGAGACGAAAGUCGGUCAUAGUGAUCCGGUGGUCCCGCGUGGAAGGGCCAUCGCUCAACGGAUAAAAGGUACUCUGGGGAUAACAGGCUGAUACCGCCCAAGAGUUCAUAUCGACGGCGGUGUUUGGCACCUCGAUGUCGGCUCAUCACAUCCUGGAGCUGAAGAAGGUUCCAAGGGUUCGGCUGUUCGCCGAUUAAAGUGGUACGCGAGCUGGGUUUAGAACGUCGUGAGACAGUUUGGUCCCUAUCUACUGUGGAUGCAUGAAAAUUGAGAGGCCUAGACCUUAGUACGAGAGGACCAGGAAAAGUAAACCUCUGGUGUACCGGUUGUUCUUUCUUAGAGCAUCGCCGGGUAGCUAAGUUUAUGCAUGAUAAUCACUGAAACCAUCUAAGUGAGAAACUGCACUCAAAACUAAUUUUCAAACAAGACAUGUGGCAGACGACCACAUACAGAUAGGCCUUGUGUGGACGCCGUGUAAGCGGUGAAGCUAAAAGGUACUAAAAAGUCGACAUUU
rnacentral:rRNA from 14 species